GACAUCUCAAAAAAAAAGAAAGAAAGAAAGAGGCAAAGUAAACCUUCCCUAUGUACACCCCAGCCCAGGCCCCAGGCCUGGUCUGUAUUGUGAAUGGGGGAACAUGG
ensembl:snoRNA